UGUUGCCCCCCCCCACCCUGAACCAAACCUCUGACUGAGAUGAGCCCUCAACUGGCAUUCACAUCCGUUCCAAGUGAACUAGACCACAGCAUCACUCUGCACCUGAAGAUCUCCUGCCCCCCCUCACCUGUCCUCUCCCAGACGAGCCUCGUCUCCGGGGACGCUCCGUCACACCUGUCGCCUCGCCGGCUGCUGCCCUGGGUCGGCGUCCAGGUGGAGGCAGAAUGCGAGGAGUCUGGCCUCCACCCUCCAAACGACCGGCCACCACCUGAAACACACAGAGACUUUUAUCGACAAGUGCAUGCUCUCUUUGGUGACUCCUGUGCUGAAACCAUUCUGUAAACACAGCCUACACACACACACCUGUCUUUAUAGUUGAGGACACUCAGAGACAUUGCAUCCCCUAUUCACCACCACAGCUAAAGGCCUGACCCCUGACCUCAACUAAACCUGACUCCAACCUGAAACCAAGUGCUAACCCUUUGAAGUUGAGGCCCAAAUGUCUUCACCACAGUGGCAUCCAAGAAAAACAUGUCCACACAAUGGGAAAAAGACAGGGAAGGAUGCGCUCUGCCCGAUGCCUCCCUGGUAUAAAAUCAGUUUGUAGAGGCUGAGCUGCAGCGUAGUAAGCAGACAGGAAGUGCUCAGACUUGAUGCCUGGCCUAGAACUGUGUGAGCCCUGCCGUCAUACAGUAUGUCUAUGAAGCAUGGCGAGGCUUCCUGUAGUGACACUAAUAAUAAUAAAUGUCUGAACCCGCUCUGAACCUGUUAGACGCCGGUGCUCAUCUUCUAGCGCUUUUAACGAACUGUACGGCAAAGGCUACUGCCACUGUGGUUUAUGGAUGAAGCCCUGAGAAUGUAAUAAAACAGUGUUUAAAAUCUGAUUCUGUUUUGUCCCAGUUUGACUGGUGCUCUCCAGCAGUGUGGACAUCUGCUCUGGAUUUAAUCUACAAAGGUCGUUUUCCUCUGGACAAACUUUUUUUUCUGUCCAGCAUUGUUUCACAGAUUUAAUCCUAAGACUUAUUUUAAUAUCUUAAAGCUUGUAACCUCAACAGGAUUCAUUAAUUUUCAAACUAAUGACCAGCAUCUGUUACAAUUCCUUAAAAAAGAACUGUGACACAUCUUCAUAUGGAAAUUUGAUGAAAAAUAAUUGUAGCAUCAAGGUGAUCAGGAGUCGGUACAUCUAC